GACGAACGCUGGCGGCGUGCCUAAUACAUGCAAGUCGAACGCAGUGGGGACGGGUGAGUAACACGUGGGUAACCUCCCAUCAGAGGGGAUAACACUUGGAAACAGGUGCUAAACCGAUACUGAUGGAUGGACCCGCGGUGCAUUAGCUAGUUGGUGAGGUAACGGCUCACCAAGGCCACGAUGCAUAGCCGAACGUAGCGGGUGGUCCGCCACACCGGGUAUGAGACCAGGCCCAGACCCCUACGGGGGGAAGCAGUGGGGGAUAUUGCACAAUGGGUGCAAGUCUGCAUGCACCAUGCCGGGUGGUUGAAGAAGGCCUUAGGGUUGUAAAGGACUUUCAGCGGGGAGGCGGUACCCGCAGAAGAAGCACCGGCUAACUCCGUGCCAGCAGCCGCGGUAAUAC
rnacentral:rRNA from 1 species